GCCUGUUACGCAAAAGGAACUUAAUAAGGCUGAACUUUUCAAACUGGAGAUGCACCAGCAACUUGGUUUCAACUUCCCUGUCAUCUCCCUCGGCAAGUAUUUUAAGCACCUCCUCUGCCAAUUUUUGGCACUGUUGCGGGUCAAUCUGUUGUUCAUAAGCUUGUGAGAUCUUCCUUUGCAGCCAAUAAGCAUCAAUAUCCUGCACAUUAAGGCCCAUGCCUUCAUUUGCCUCCUGCAUGUCUUCAUCAUCAAUUCCACCACCCAUUUGCAUAGCCCCUGAACCAUUCGGCUCUGCCACAUCAUCAUCAUCUUCUUCCUCAUCCGGAACUGCAUCAAGAUCACUCU
rnacentral:misc_RNA from 1 species